rnacentral:rRNA from 1 species
AGUGAACGCUGGCGGUAGGCCUAACACAUGCAAGUCGAACGGCAGCACAGUAAGAGCUUGCUCUUACGGGUGGCGAGUGGCGGACGGGUGAGGAAUACAUCGGAAUCUACUUUUUCGUGGGGGAUAACGUAGGGAAACUUACGCUAAUACCGCAUACGACCUACGGGUGAAAGCAGGGGAUCUUCGGACCUUGCGCGAUUGAAUGAGCCGAUGUCGGAUUAGCUAGUUGGCGGGGUAAAGGCCCACCAAGGCGACGAUCCGUAGCUGGUCUGAGAGGAGGAUCAGCCACACUGGAACUUGGACACGGUCCAGACUCCUACGGGAGGCAGCAGUGGGGAAUAUUGGACAAUGGGCGCAAGCCUGAUCCAGCCAUACCGCGUGGGUGAAGAAGGCCUUCGGGUUGUAAAGCCCUUUUGUUGGGAAAGAAAAGCAGCAGGUUAAUACCCCGCUGUUCUGACGGUACCCAAAGAAUAAGCACCGGCUAACUUCGUG